GAUGAAGAACGUAGCGAAAUGCGAUAAGUAAUGUGAAUUGCAGAAUUCAGUGAAUCAUCGAAUCUUUGAACGCUCAUUGCGCCCUUUGGCAUUCCGAAGGGCACACCUGUCCGAGCGCCGUCGCACAACUGAGGCGCAGCCUUGCGUUGGCGGGCGACUUGUGAGUAGCGAGUCGCCGCCCAAACGAGACGGCGCCGCGCCGCGGCCGACGAAGCACGAAAGCGGAAGUCGACGCGGAGGCGGUUGCCUGUAGGAAGACACAGCUUGGCCUCGGAUCAGGUGGGGAUACCCGCUGAACUUAAGCAUAUCAAUAGCGGAGGA
rnacentral:misc_RNA from 1 species